rnacentral:piRNA from 1 species
UGAAGAGGAUCAGUUUCACUUACUUGGGC